UACAGAGGUCUCAAGCGUUGUUCGGAUUCAUUGGGCGUAAAGGGGUGCGUAGGUGGCGCUGUAAGUCGGGUGUGAAAUCUUGGAGCUUAACUCCGAAACUGCAUUCGAUACUGCCGUGCUUGAGGACUGGAGAGGAGACUGGAAUUCACGGUGUAGCAGUGAAAUGCGUAGAUAUCGUGAGGAAGACCAGUGGCGAAGGCGGAUCUCUGGACAGUUCCGUGACGCUGAGGCG
rnacentral:rRNA from 1 species